rnacentral:rRNA from 1 species
CUAACAUGCAUGUGCUCGGGCUCUUCUUGCGCAGGCUAGGUGGGAGGCUUUGAUCCUUUGCUUCCGGGGAUUGUUGAGCCAUUGGUGAGAGACCACUCUGGAGGAGCUAGAAUUCUAAUGCCGAUCCUUGAUCCAGGACGCUUGCCAUUUCCGGGGGGCAAUUUGGACGGGGCCGUCCCCUCCCUAAAAGGUACCGAAGGCUUGCAAAGGUUCCUCCAGGCGGGACGGAAUUCAGCCGUAAAUGGUAAAGGCAAAAGGAACCUGGACGGCAAAACCUACAAUUCAACCAGGGCCAAAAGCCGGCCUUAUGGAUCCGACGGUCCCGUGGGAAAGGCCCGCCCCUCACCGAAUAAAAGUUACUCUAGGGAUACCAGGUGGAUGACCUGCUUA